GAAACCGCACAGCCCCGCCGCCCCCAUCCCCCCGCGCGCACGACUCCUCGCCGCCUCUCGCUUCCUCGCCGCCCCUCGCUGCCGGGCUUGCAGCUCGCUUGGCCCGCAUGGCCCUGCCGCCUCUCCCAUGCCCAGCGAGCGGUUGAACUAGACAAGAGGAGAGCUGCGGCAAGCGCCAUGGUGCCGAUCCGGCCACCCCCACCCUUGCUUACACCGGAUCCGUCUCUCUCUAACCCAUCUCCUGGUCCGAUCCAAUGGCGACUGCACUUCAUCGACCUCAGGACGCCGCGAGGUCCUAGCGGCGGCGGCAGGCACCACACGGGGAGUGGAAAGAUGGGGCAGCGGCGGCGUGCCAGAGUCUCUUGGGUUCCCGUCCCCUGUCGUAAUCAAAUCACAGCCACAACCGGCGAGGCUUCAGUUAACAUUCCCAACUUCUUGGCCAAUACAACGAUAAUCAGCGCCUCACCCCACUCCACUCCAUGCCAGCCCAACAGUCAUGUUAUUGAACACGGGAGAGAAACCGAGCACCACUUUUCACUUGAAUUAGAAACGCCAAAGGUUUGGGAUUAUGCUCGUGACGGCUACGUCCAUCAUGUAUUAUGUCCAAAGCAGAUGCCAUGUGUUGAUAUGUAAUGGUGGUGCAGUAAUGGAUGAAGCUCUAUUGAACAUGAAAGUUAAGAUGUAAUCUAUGGAAAACCAUAGGAUGAUUUCAGAAUCACCAUGGGUUGAAAGAGCAGCUGGCUAUCACGCGAUGGCCGUUUCUGUGGACGUGACUUGGAGCGUCAGAAGGUUUUCGCUAUGUUUGAUCUGAUUUCCUUUCAAAUUGAAAUGUGGUUUUUUCUUUAUCCGAGUAAGCAAUUUUCGUUAGCGAAGUAGGUGACUCAAAAUGGAAGAAAACAUGGUAGGCAGUGUGAUGAUUGAUUUUUGGUUUUCGUGUUGGGGCGACAUGAUUGAUGUUGGUAUCAUUGGGCCAGCCUUCGGUUCUUCCAAAAAAAUGGAGCGAUCCUGGUUUAGUAUUCCUGUAUUUUCUAAGAUGUGAAGUCCUGCAUAUUCUUGAGGUUUUAUCCAUUAGAACAUUGAUUGAUAUCCUUGGGCAAGUGCGUAUAAUUUUGUUUAUUUACAGUGGGAUUCAGAUGA